rnacentral:lncRNA from 1 species
GAGCAUUAGUGCUUCUCUCCACAACCCCCUCAUAUUCUGAUCCCCAUCAAGCCCCUAAAAAUGAAGGAGAGAAACCACCUCCAAAACAUAAACCACCACAUGGUCAUCUUCUAGCUGAAAGUGUAGAAGAAUUUCAUGAACAUGCAAAAGGUAAAAGAGACAAGCCACCACCUAAACACAAACCACCACAUGGACAUCUUUUAGCUGAGGAAGUAGAUGAUUCUUUUAAACCGCCUAUGGGUAAGGGAGAAAAAUUUCCACCGGAACACAAACCACGUAAUCCUCCAUCAGAGCAUAAGCCACCGCACAAGCCUCCACAUGCGCAAAAGCCACUAAAUAGACGUCUUUUACAAGUAGAUAUUGAGGAUGCACAUAAAGAAAAGGGAGAGAAGCCACCACAUGGACAUCUUUUGGCCGAGGAAGUUAUGGAGGACUCGCCUAAGAAAAAGGGAGAGAAGCCACCACCGAAGCACAAGCCACCACAUGGACAUCUUUUGGCCGAGGAAGAGGUCGAGGACUCACACAAAGGGAAGGGAGAGAAGCCACCACCAAAGCACAAGCCACCACAUGGACAUCUUUUGGCCGAGGAAGAAGUUGAGGACUCACACAAGGGAAAGGGAGAGAAGCCACCACCAAAACACAAGCCUCCGCAUGGACAUCUUUUAGCUGAAGAAAAAGUUGAGGACUCACACAAGGGAAAAGGAGAGAAGCCACCACCAAAACACAAGCCCCCGAAUGGACAUCUUUUAGCUGAAGAAGAAGUUGAUGACUCACACAAAGGAAAGGGAGAGAAGCCACCACCAAAGCACAAGCCACCACAUGGACAUCUUUUGGCCGAGGAAGAGGUCGAGGACUCAUACAAAGGAAAGGGAGAGAAACCACCACCAAAACACAAACCUCCACAUGGACAUCUUUUAGCCGAGGAAGAAGUUGAGGACUCACACAAGGGAAAGGGAGAGAAACCACCACCAAAACACAAGCCCCCACAUGGACAUCUUUUAGCCGAGGAAGAAGUUGAUGACUCGCACAAGGGAAAGGGAGAAAAGCCACCACCAAAACACAAGCCACCUCACGGGCACUUAUUAGUUGAAGAGGUUGAAGACUCACACAAGGGGAAAGGAGAAAAACCACCGCCAAAGCACAAACCACCUCAUGGACACCUUUUAGCUGAAGAGGCCAACGACUCUCACAAAGGAAAGGGAGAGAAGCCACCAUGCAAGUCUCCUCACAAACCCCCAUCAGCCAACUAAGUGCCUUACGCUAAUUUCGCUAGAUGCUUAAAAAUAAGAAACAGAAGUAGUUUACUCUUCUGUUGGUUUCUGUAUCUGCAUUUUUCACUGAAUUAGUAUUUGUACUUUGGCUUGUAUUAUAUGAGUACUACCCUCUAGUUGGCUGUUUUAUGUAGAUUAUGGUUUUAUGUUCUAGUGCUGCGCGUAUUAUUUCAGUUGACUUAACUUUUAUUUGCAAAAUAUACAGCAAGACAUGCACACAAUCCUAGUACGUAGUUUUGCCACAUGCAUAUAUUUGGUGGUAGGAUAUUGUCAACGACAACAACGUUUAAUUACUUUAACUUAAACACGUGCUGAUGAUUUUUUUUUUUGUAAAAGCCCUUUAUUAGUAAACUAGUAUUACUCUGACAUCAACAGAUAUACCAUAGGUUUUGUCUAAAACUUGAAGGUUUCUGUAGUUUAAUUUGGUAAGUAAAAUUUUUUGUGUGUAGCACAUAAUGAAUAUGUUACUUACAUGUGUAGAUUUAUAUUUUACAUUUUAUUUUAAUAUUAGAUAAUUAAUAUAUAUAUAUUUAAUUAUUUAAAUUUAUAUAUAUUACUAAUUUAUUAAUUUAGUCUAUAUAUAUAUAUGAUAUACAUUUAAGUUAAAUUAGGUAAGAAGUUAUUAAGUACUUCCAAAUUAAUAUGAAAUAAUUCUCUAAAGGAAAUGAAUCAACUCUUGGAAAAUGUCGGGAGAAAAGAUUUCAAAUUUCUGCAUGUCUCUGUUUCUGCUCAGUGGAUGUCUCUGUUUCUGCUUGCUGCCUAUGUUGCAAUAUUUAUUUGGCUUUUUAUUCCUGGUAAAUUUCUUAUUUUCCUCUUAAUUUUGACUAGGCCGGCUGAUUCGGGAGUAAGAUUUAAGUAGUUUUAUAUUUAAUGAAAAGUAGAAUUCUGAAGAAGCGAAAAUAAAUAUAAAAAGGGAUAAUUGGUGUUCUGAGUGAAUCAUUAUUAAACACAAAAUUAGUAUUACAAACAAAAUUGCAAUUAUCAAAAUGACAGUAUGCUCCACAGAUAGAUGAUUAUCUAAUCAGUACUUAUAAUUAGCCUAAAUUUAAUAGGAAUAGUACAGAAUUAAACUUUCUUUUUUAAAAAAAGGGUCAUUAAACUGAAUCAUAAGAACAGGAUAGAGAGUAUUUGUAAUCAAAGAAACAUAGAGAGAAUUCAAAGUAAUGCCCCCAGAUGAUAGCCCUGAACAAUAAAUAUUACUUAGAAAAACAAACUGCCAAGAGAAAUUAGUCAAUAAAAUUUAGAUUGAAUCACGAUAUUUAUAAACGAGUAGAUAAAUAUAUCUUUUUUAUUAAAAAAUAAUAUUGCAUAAUUCAUCUUAAUUUAUUUCAACUUUUACUCAUAAAAUGUGAUAUAUAAUAUAUUUAUAAAAUUAUUAAUAUUUUGAUAUUACUCUCUUAAUUAAUAAAUAAUUCCAUAAAAACAUCAUACACCAUAUUAUAUAAACAAUAGUUGGGACAAAUCAAAAUGAAAUGUUUAGCAUUUUUCUAGUUAAAACCUAUUCUACAAUUCAAACCAAAAAUAGCAGUCCAAGAAAGCAUAUCUUUCACUAAUAAUCCAAACAAAUCGCUAAUUCUAAACAACCACGUUUUGGUUAAAAGAUUAUUAAUUUAGUUUGUCUAAUAAUUCGAUCCUGAAUUUGCUGAGCCGCAGUAGGAUCUCGCUCGUAUAUACAAAUCCUGAAGAAGAUCACUAUAAAUUUCUGAUCCAAUAAUGAAACUUUGAAGUCCAUAAGUAGGUUUAGGAGAAAUUUAAAGGCAGAUUCAGUUUUAAUAUUAAAUUAUAAAUAAUAUCAAUUAUACAGUAAUAUAUAACAUUAUUUACUGAUUAUUACACUUAUAUCAGUUGAAUUCUAGCCAUAAAUAAUGAAUGGUAUGGAUAGUAGUACUUAAAAAGAAUAAUCUCCAUAUAUAUAUAAAUGCAUGGAAUUUAAUAACUUUCACACCUAUGAAAUUAUCCCACCUAAAACAGAAAACCUUAGUAUUAAAUUGAGAAUAAUGCAGAAAUAUAAAUAUUUGAAAUAAUUACAAAUAAUGCAGAAAUACAAGGACCGCAGGAAAACAGAGGCCACACACUCUUGGCUGGAAUGAUUUUCCUAUUUUUGCAUGCUCACCCAUUACUCUACUCUAUCGCAUUAUUAUUGUUCAAAACUUCACAACUUAACAAAUAUACUUCCAACACAUCACAUGCGUGACCCAUUAAUUAUUACAUGUGAACGUAAAAUGAGAAGUGGUGACAACAGCAGUGAUGUCACACUUUCUGAUAUUACUACAAUUCUUGGAUGACUUACCUUAAUUCCUUUCUGGUGCAUGUUGCAGUAAUUUAUUAGAAAUACAUAAGACCUUUUUUUUCUUCCUAUCUCUUUGUUUCAUUGUAGAAUAGUCCGAGACAACGAUAAUAUCUUACACUUAAUUUGUCUGUAAAUAUAUAUACACUUGACUUUACAUGCUAUAGUAUUAUUAACUAGUCACCUAGACAGAUUUGAAGUAGAUAAUAUUUAUCGAUAAAUUACUUUCUAGAUUUCUAUUUUAUGGUUACAUACAUCAAAAUUUCUGCAAAACAAGUGGAGAAUAGCCUAAUUUGGGGAUUCAAAGAAACUUUGAUGGCUUCUUUUUCUACUCGAAAUUAUACUAAAAAUAAUUCAUAAACAUGAAUGAUCCAAGGGUGGAGAGCAAGACUCUUAGCCAGUUUGUCAAAAAUUUUAACUCGAUGGGACCCAAUAGAUCUAAUUGGUUCGUAAGAGAGCCAAAUGUAUUCAACUUCACUACAUAGUGUACUAAUCUAUAGUAAAGGACAGGUGCAGUAUGACAUGGGUGGUGACGACAUAGUCCCACCGUCCACCCAUGCAAUAUUAUAAAAGGCAGAGCAAAGCUUCAAGUUUUGCACCAUCAACUGAACCCCAAAUAUGUCUUCUAAAUACUUGCUAGUGUUGUUCCUCCUCGGAGCAUUAGUGCUUCUCUUCACAACCCCCUCAUAUGCUGAUCAUCAUGAGCCCCUUAGAAAUAAAGGAGAGAAACCACCUCCAAAACAUAAACCACCACAUGUUCAUCUUCUAGCUGAAAAUAUAGAAGAUUUUCAUGGACAUGCAAAAGGUAAAAGAGACAAGCCACCACCUAAACAUAAACCACCACAUGGACAUCUUUUAGCUGAGGAAGUAGAUGAUUAUUCUACAUCUCCGGGAUGGAAACUACAUAAUCCUCCAUCAGAGCAUAAACCACCGCAUAAGCCUCCACAUGAGCAAAAGCCACUAAAUAGACGUCUUUUACAAGUAGAUAUUGAGGAUGCACAUAAAGAAAAGGGAGAGAAGCCACCACAUGGACAUCUUUUGGCCGAGGAAGUUAUGGAGGACUCGCCUAAGAAAAAGGGAGAGAAGCCACCACCAAAGCACAAGCCACCACAUGGACAUCUUUUGGCCGAGGAAGAGGUCGAGGACUCACACAAAGGGAAGGGAGAGAAGCCACCACCAAAGCACAAGCCACCACAUGGACAUCUUUUGGCCGAGGAAGAAGUUGAGGACUCACACAAGGGAAAGGGAGAGAAGCCACCACCAAAACACAAGCCCCCGCAUGGACAUCUUUUAGCUGAAGAAAAAGUUGAGGACUCACACAAGGGAAAAGGAGAGAAGCCACCACCAAAACACAAGCCCCCGCAUGGACACCUUUUAGCUGAAGAAGAAGUUGAUGAUUCGCACAAGGGAGAGGGAGAAAAGCCACCACCAAAACACAAGCCACCUCACGGGCACUUAUUAGUUGAAGAGGUUGAAGACUCACACAAGGGGAAAGGAGAAAAACCACCGCCCAAGCACAAACCACCUCAUGGACACCUUUUAACUGAAGAGAUCAACGACUCUUACAAAGGAAAGGGAGAGAAGCCACCUCACAAGCCUCCCCACAAACCCCCAUCAGCCGACUAAGUACCUUAGGCUAAUUUCGCUAAAUGCUUAGAAAUAAGAAACAGAAGUCUACUCUUCUGUUGGUUUCUGUAUCUGCAUUUUCACUGAAUUAGUAUUUGUACUUUGGCUUGUAUUAUAUGAAUACUACCCUCUAGUUGGCUGUUUUAUGUAGAUUAUGGUUUUAUGUUCUAGUGCUGUGUGUAUUAUUUCAGUUGAUUUAACUUUUAUUUGCAAACUAUACAGCAAUACAUGCACUUACUCCUAGUACGUAGUUCUGCCACAUGCAUAUAUUUGGUGGUAGGAUAUUGCCAACGACAACAACGUUUAAUUACUUUAACUUAAAUCAAAUAUGAAAUGAUUCUCUUAAUUAAAACUAAAUUUUUUUUAUACCCUAAUUUAACCCUUAUUUAUUAAUUAUAUUUAUUAAAUCUCUUAUUAGUUAAAGUAUAUAUAAUAAAACUAGGUAAGAAUGUGUGAGAUUUCAAAUUUCUUCAUAUCUGUCACUGGUUAUUUCAUGUCUCUGUUUCUGCUUGCUGCCUAUGUUGCAACAUUCAUUUGGCUUCUUAUUCCUAGUCAAUUACUUAUUUGCCUCUCGAUUUUGACUAGGUCGAUAGUAAGCUUAAAGUUUAAUUUCAAACAGUUUCAUAUUUAAAGAAAAGUAGUAUUUUGAAGAAGCGGAAAUAAACACAAAAAAAAGAUAGUUGGUGCAAUGAGUAAAUCAUUUUCAAAUAUAAAAUUAUUAUUACAAGCAAAAUUGGAAUUAUUAGAAUGACAGUAUGCUCCAAAGAUAAGAGUAUAAUAUGAAUAGUACAAAAUUAGCCUUUUUCUUUAAACAAAAUAAUUCAGUAAACUGAUCAUAAGAACGUAAUAAAGAGUAAAAUUCUAUCCUACAUUUGUAUUUCAAAAGUAAAAAAUAUUAAUUUUUAAAUACAUUUGGUUCUCAGUGAUUGACAAGAUAAAAUCUUAUUUAACUUUCUCCUUAUAGAGUAGGAAUUCCAGAUACAUAUUAUCUUACCAAGGGUUUGAUAAUGACAUUUUAAUUACAGCACCACUAUAGACAAGUAGCCAUUGUUAAUGGAGGUUAUCAUUCCAAUUUCCCUCUUGUGAAGUUAUUAAUUUGUGGAGAUUAUAAAGGACUCCAAUCUUUAACCCUUCCAAUGAGUUAAAAAAAUAUAAAAUAUUUCUUAUCAAAUUGCACCAUCAACAACUCAUACGAAUGCCACCUUUAUGGCCGCAAAACAGAGUGCUUGAUAACCAAAUUUAAGAUAAAUCUCAAUUCGACGGUAAGUGCAUCACUUAGAUUUGUUACAUCCUAAUAAUAUAUACUAAAUUUAUAAAUAAUUAAUAUAUAUUUUAUUAAUUUAAAUAAUAAAAUAUAUAAAUUAUAUAUAUAUCAACUGCCAGUGGUACCUUUUUUAAACUAAAGGAAGCUAUUAGUGGAGACAAGCUUUAGAAGUGAACGCCACUCAUCUGCUAAACUACAAAAGAUGCCACCACACCUCUGACGUCAAAUGAUAUGCAUGUGCUCUAGUCACUGUUGAAACUAAGAAAUUAUUAACCGUGAGCCUAAUAUCCAAAGAACCUUUGGAUCCAAUCAAUUGAUUUUAGAUAAACUAUGGUGAAAAUAUAUCAUUUUUCGUUACUCUUCAGCUUUCCACCAAAUUCAGCCCCCCAAAAGUUCAAGAAAAAAAAUUAAUACCAAGGAUAAUAUAAAUUCCAAGAGUUUAGGCGAAUAAUUUUUUUUCUGAUCAGCAUUUUGCAAUUAGUUGAAAAUUGGAACUUGCCAGAAGCUGUGCAGCUCAAUUUUAUCAGGCACAUACGAAAACACACUUCCUAUUUCUCUGAAAGUUUGUCUUGCAGCAGUUUAAGAUGAACAAAAGCAAGUUGGUUUUCUGCUUGUAAUUUACAACUCAAUUAGAUUAUAGAAGAAAUUAAAACAGUAAUAUGUAAUUCUUUGGGGCAUAACCUUUAAUACUACUGAUAAGUAUAACGGAUACGUUCCUAAAUUAUAUUGUACUAAAUUUACAACCGCAAGGAGAUCCAAGUUGGAGAGUUAAUAAUCACACUAGGUUAGGAGAAAGAGCAAUAACUUGGCCAUAUUGUCAAAGUUUUCAACUAGUUGGAACCCGGUGGAUCUUCUUCUCUAAACCGGUGGAUCUUCUUCUCUAACAUGAAAUUUUAAACAGCCAACUUGACUGCAUAGGGUACUAGGUUAGUAAAGACAAGAAAGUAUGACAUGAACAAAAACCACUUAAUAGACGUCUUUUACAAGUAGAUAUUGAGGAUGCACAUAAAGGAAAGGGAGAGAAGCCACCGCAUGGACAUCUUUUGGCCGAGGAAGUUAUGGAGGACUCGUAUAAGAACAAGAGAGAGAAGCCACCACAUGGACAUCUUUUGGCCGAGGAAUAAGUGGAGGAUUCACGCAAAGGAAACGGAGAGAAACCACCACCAAAACACAAACCUCCACAUGGACAUCUUUUAGCUGA